rnacentral:rRNA from 1 species
GACGAACGCUGGCGGCGUGCCUAAUACAUGCAAGCCGAGCGCAGGAAGUCAUCCGACCCCUUCGGGGGGACGUUGACGGAAUGAGCGGCGGACGGGUGAGUAACACGUAAAGAACCUGCCCUCAGGUCUGGGAUAACCACGAGAAAUCGGGGCUAAUACCGGAUGGGUCAUCGGACCGCAUGGUCCGAGGAUGAAAGGCGCUCCGGCGUCGCCUGGGGAUGGCUUUGCGGUGCAUUAGCUAGUUGGUGGGGUAAUGGCCCACCAAGGCGACGAUGCAUAGCCGACCUGAGAGGGUGAUCGGCCACACUGGGACUGAGACACGGCCCAGACUCCUACGGGAGGCAGCAGUAGGGAAUCUUCCACAAUGGACGAAAGUCUGAUGGAGCAACGCCGCGUGAACGAUGAAGGCCCUCGGGUCGUAAAGUUCUGUUGUAAGGGAAGAACAAGUGCCGCAGGCAAUGGCGGCACCUUGACGGUACCUUGCGAGAAAGCCACGGCUAACUACGUG